AAAAAAGUAAGAAGGCUUUCUUUCUUAAUAAAAGAAGGCGGGCACUUGUCCUGUCUUGCUACCCUCUCGUUGUCUUCCUUAUUUUUGUGUUUUUUUUCUUUUUCUUUUAUUCAUUAUUAACAAGAGUAAGAGUAAGAGUAGAAGAGGAACGACGAGAAGCAAACGAGAAACGCACUUUGUUUUUCUUGUUU
rnacentral:ribozyme from 1 species